rnacentral:rRNA from 1 species
GACGAACGCUGGCGGCGUGCUUAAUACAUGCAAGUCGAGCGAGGUCCAUCUGGUGGCAACAACCAGUGAAGGCCGAGCGGCGAACGGGUGAGUAACACGUGAGCCAACCUGCCCCGAAGUCUGGAAUAACAUCGGGAAACCGGUGCUAAUACCGGAUCGCCCCACCUGACCGCAUGAUCGGGUGAAGGAAAGAUUUAUCGCGUUCGGGGAGGGGCUCGCGGCCUAUCAGCUAGGU